CCUACGGGAGGCAGCAGUGGGGAAUUUUUGGACAAUGGGCGAAAGCCUGAUCCAGCCAUUCCGCGUGCAGGAUGAAGGCCCCCGGGUUGUAAACUGCUUUUGUACAGAACGAAAAGGUUUCUAUUAAUACUAGGAGCUCAUGACGGUACUGUAAGAAUAAGCACCGGCUAACUACGUGCCAGCAGCCGCGGUAAUACGUAGGGUGCAAGCGUUAAUCGGAAUUACUGGGCGUAAAGCGUGCGCAGGCGGUUAUAUAAGUCAGAUGUGAAAUCCCCGGGCUCAACCUGGGAACUGCAUUUGAGACUGUAUAGCUAGAGUACGGUAGAGGGGGAUGGAAUUCCGCGUGUAGCAGUGAAAUGCGUAGAUAUGCGGAGGAACACCGAUGGCGAAGGCAAUCCCCUGGACCUGUACUGACGCUCAUGCACGAAAGCGUGGGGAGCAAACAGGAUUAGAUACCCUGGUAGUCCACGCCCUAAACGAUGUCAACUGGUUGUUGGGUCUUAACUGACUCAGUAACGAAGCUAAUGCGUGAAGUUGACCGCCUGGGGAGUACGGCCGCAAGGUUGAAACUCAAAUGAAUUGACCGGNGUGAGACGNGACGAGACGACGACGAGGGAGGAGG
rnacentral:rRNA from 1 species